CUCACGAUCCUUCACCAGUCGUCGCCACGACGAGAUCGUUCCUCCCUCCUAUUCAGCCGCCACAUCUCCCAGCGAGGAGCUCGGGACCACCAGGUCCGGCGACCCCGUCCUCCUUACAGGCGGAUCCAGAAACCCGGAUGAGGAUGACAGCCGUUACCACCCUUUUCUCCUCUUUCAUCUUCACAUGUUAGAGGAUCCCUCUCCAUCUUCCUCAGCUCGCUGGCAUGGGAGUCGCACAUGAUAAGGGGUUUCACGGGAGCCGGCAGCGACCACUGCUUCUGUGAGAGGACCGAAGAUACCACCGCUCAAAAUAGUGCAUGGCUACCUCGAUCUUGGUUUUAAUGGCUGCUAACUGUCUUUUUCUGGUUUAUUCGAUGUGGAUGGCAUGGGCUUCAAACUAAUGGUUGUAUGUGUGUUUGUGUUUCUUGCUUUUCCCCCUCCCAAUUAGCCAAGUGAGACCUAUUGUUUCCCCUACAUUUGGAUAUAGCUUCUCAUAUAUUUCUUCCUGCGGUUAGAGGAAAUAGGAUGCAGACAACUGAGCAGAUUUUCUCCACCAUGUUAUAUCUGAAGAGGCAAAUAGGUCUGUACAUGAUCUCUGCAGGUUAUCGACUCUGGGAAUACCAACUCAAGUUUGCUUGCCAACAGCAUUGUGGAACAAAAUACUAUAUUUAUCUGUAUAUGUUCAUUGACUUAUUUUUUCCUUGAAUUUCAGUUAUGCUUAUUCAUUACAAAAAUGUUUGCAUCUCCCUUUUCUCUACCGAAUAGGCACAUUUAAAUAAACCAUAUCUACCAUUGAUCCAUGAUGGAAAUAAUGUAUUGAAAGUUCAUUUUGUACGCUGCAUUUUUUGUUGUUUAAAGGUUAUAAAUUUCAUUACAUUAAUCAUUAUCUUGCACUAAUAUGUUGCAGAAAAAUAUCCGUUGUUGAGAAGAUUUAACACAGGGUCUUAUUCCAAGAGGUGUGUUCUGCUGCUGUCAGAAGAAGUAUUGCCGAUUUAUAAGAAUUGACUUCUCAUACAUUCCAUCUUAAUUUCAUAUUGAGUAGAUCGUUGCCAAUGAGCGUGCUAUUAAAUUGGAGUACUCAAAGUAAGUUUAAUAAGCCUCCAGUUUUAUUUUUUCCUAUCUAUGCGUAUGAUGUGGCAAUGUUUCAUUUGGCCUAAAUAAAGAGAAGGUAGACAGUGAUCCAGUUGGACAUGGAUAAUGGAAAAUCAAGCUUAAUUAGUUACAAUCACAUAAGCUUAGCCAAAAAGUUGUGGUUAUUUGAUUGAAUCAAUUAAUUGACCAAACUAAGGCUUAUAAGGAGCACACCAACCACAUAUACUAUAACUUAAUUUUAGUACAGCAGGACCCACAACUCACCUGUACCAUACCAUUUAGAUAUGUCGGUUAUCCUAAAUAUAAAAUGUAUCCUAAAUAUAAAAUGAGGUCUUAAUUCCUUUAUUAUGUGCAACAGCUAUUUGAUUCAACAAUGCUUCCAUUUGAUCACAACCAAUUGAAGUAGCUUAUGUGGAUAUUUCCUAUGGCACAGAAUCCUAAUGUUAGUGUUUGAAGAGGAAAAAACCAAUUUAACUCUUUACCUACCGAAAUUAGUAAAGGCAACUGGUAUGGUCACUCUACAAAAAGUCAGUCCGUUUUAUUGCAUUUCACAAUUCAACUACACCUAAAAUAGCUGAGCCAACCAUUUACAUAGUUACCCAUCCAUAUUAUCGAUUAAUGUUAGAUUUAGUUGAUUUCAACUUACAAAGGAUGAAUUUAUCAUUUGGUAAUAAUUAGUUCUUGGGCGAAGUUCCCAAACAACCGGUGUAAUCGGGUUCUAUUCUUUCCUGUUCACGUUCUCAUAAGGUGGUUACACCAUUAUGCCAUGUUAUGCCUCCAUGCUAUGCAUCUUCCUGGUACGUGGAUCAACUAAAACAACUAUUGGUUCCUACAUUUGAUUUAAUCUUUGUAUAAAUAGCUUGAUUUGCAUAUCCAAUGGGUUUUUUGUUGGAUGUUAACUUGCACAAAAGAAAAAUUAUAUUUAUUCACUGACUGACUGGUUGCUCUGUUGAGUUCCCUAUCUUUUGUUGACUAUAUUGCUAACUGGUGCCUUUUUAGUAGGUCUAUAUUUUCUUUGCUUACACAGUAAACCCUGCACCGCACUUAUCUAUCCCUUCUUCCUAUUGACAAUAUCCUUGAUCUAAUUGGGGUUGUCGAUGAUAUAUUUGUGUACUGAAUGGUAUGGCAGAUCAUGCUUUGAUAAAUGAUGCUGGCACAAUGAAAAGGAUAAUAGAGCUAAACCUUUUGGUUCUUACGGUGCCCUGGUCAUGGCUAAAUAAGGGAGUUGGACACACAUGUUCAUUCUGCCUAUUCUAACACCAAUGUAAUUGGAAAUCGACUUUGAUUUAAUACAUCUAUGUGCAUAAAUAUAUUAUGUACAUGAUUUUUUAUUA